rnacentral:rRNA from 2 species
GGGUUGUGAGGUUAAGCGACUAAGCGUACACGGUGGAUGCCCUGGCAGUCAGAGGCGAUGAAGGACGUGCUAAUCUGCGAAAAGCGUCGGUAAGGUGAUAUGAACCGUUAUAACCGGCGAUGUCCGAAUGGGGAAACCCAGUGCAAUUCGUUGCACUAUCGUUAACUGAAUACAUAGGUUAACGAGGCGAACCGGGGAACUGAAACAUCUAAGUACCCCGAGGAAAAGAAAUCAACCGAGAUUCCCCCAGUAGCGGCGAGCGAACGGGGAGCAGCCCAGAGUCUGAAUCAGCUUGUGUGUUAGUGGAACGGUCUGGAAAGUCCGACGGUACAGGGUGAUAGUCCCGUACACCAAAAUGCACAGGCUGUGAACUCGAAGAGUAGGGCGGGACACGUGGUAUCCUGUCUGAAUAUGGGGGGACCAUCCUCCAAGGCUAAAUACUCCUGACUGACCGAUAGUGAACCAGUACCGUGAGGGAAAGGCGAAAAGAACCCCGGCGAGGGGAGUGAAAAAGAACCUGAAACCGUGUACGUACAAGCAGUGGGAGCACCUUCGGGUGUGACUGCGUACCUUUUGUAUAAUGGGUCAGCGACUUAUAUUCUGUAGCAAGGUUAACCGUAUAGGGGAGCCGCAGGGAAACCGAGUCUUAACUGGGCGUUAAGUUGCAGGGUAUAGACCCGAAACCCGGUGAUCUAGCCAUGGGCAGGUUGAAGGUUGGGUAACACUAACUGGAGGACCGAACCGACUAAUGUUGAAAAAUUAGCGGAUGACUUGUGGCUGGGGGUGAAAGGCCAAUCAAACCGGGAGAUAGCUGGUUCUCCCCGAAAGCUAUUUAGGUAGCGCCUCGUGAACUCAUCUUCGGGGGUAGAGCACUGUUUCGGCUAGGGGGUCAUCCCGACUUACCAACCCGAUGCAAACUACGAAUACCGAAGAAUGUUAUCACGGGAGACACACGGCGGGUGCUAACGUCCGUCGUGAAGAGGGAAACAACCCAGACCGCCAGCUAAGGUCCCAAAGUCAUGGUUAAGUGGGAAACGAUGUGGGAAGGCACAGACAGCCAGGAUGUUGGCUUAGAAGCAGCCAUCAUUUAAAGAAAGCGUAAUAGCUCACUGGUCGAGUCGGCCUGCGCGGAAGAUGUAACGGGGCUAAACCAUGCACCGAAGCUGCGGCAGCGACACUAUGUGUUGUUGGGUAGGGGAGCGUUCUGUAAGCCUGCGAAGGUGUGCUGUGAGGCAUGCUGGAGGUAUCAGAAGUGCGAAUGCUGACAUAAGUAACGAUAAAGCGGGUGAAAAGCCCGCUCGCCGGAAGACCAAGGGUUCCUGUCCAACGUUAAUCGGGGCAGGGUGAGUCGACCCCUAAGGCGAGGCCGAAAGGCGUAGUCGAUGGGAAACAGGUUAAUAUUCCUGUACUUGGUGUUACUGCGAAGGGGGGACGGAGAAGGCUAUGUUAGCCGGGCGACGGUUGUCCCGGUUUAAGCAUGUAGGCUGGUUGUCCAGGCAAAUCCGGAUAAUCAAGGCUGAGGUGUGAUGACGAGGCACUACGGUGCUGAAGUAACAAAUGCCCUGCUUCCAGGAAAAGCCUCUAAGCAUCAGGUAACAUCAAAUCGUACCCCAAACCGACACAGGUGGUCAGGUAGAGAAUACCAAGGCGCUUGAGAGAACUCGGGUGAAGGAACUAGGCAAAAUGGUGCCGUAACUUCGGGAGAAGGCACGCUGGUGUGUAGGUGAAGCCCCUGCGGGUGGAGCUGAGACCAGUCGAAGAUACCAGCUGGCUGCAACUGUUUAUUAAAAACACAGCACUGUGCAAACACGAAAGUGGACGUAUACGGUGUGACGCCUGCCCGGUGCCGGAAGGUUAAUUGAUGGGUUAUCCGUAAGGAGAAGCUCUUGAUCGAAGCCCCGGUAAACGGCGGCCGUAACUAUAACGGUCCUAAGGUAGCGAAAUUCCUUGUCGGGUAAGUUCCGACCUGCACGAAUGGCGUAAUGAUGGCCAGGCUGUCUCCACCCGAGACUCAGUGAAAUUGAACUCGCUGUGAAGAUGCAGUGUACCCGCGGCAAGACGGAAAGACCCCGUGAACCUUUACUAUAGCUUGACACUGAACAUUGAGCCUUGAUGUGUAGGAUAGGUGGGAGGCUUUGAAGCGUGGACGCCAGUCUGCGUGGAGCCAACCUUGAAAUACCACCCUUUAAUGUUUGAUGUUCUAACGUUGGCCCCUUACCGGGGUUGCGGACAGUGUCUGGUGGGUAGUUUGACUGGGGCGGUCUCCUCCCAAAGCGUAACGGAGGAGCACGAAGGUUAGCUAAUCCUGGUCGGACAUCAGGAGGUUAGUGCAAUGGCAUAAGCUAGCUUGACUGCGAGCGUGACGGCGCGAGCAGGUGCGAAAGCAGGUCAUAGUGAUCCGGUGGUUCUGAAUGGAAGGGCCAUCGCUCAACGGAUAAAAGGUACUCCGGGGAUAACAGGCUGAUACCGCCCAAGAGUUCAUAUCGACGGCGGUGUUUGGCACCUCGAUGUCGGCUCAUCACAUCCUGGGGCUGAAGUAGGUCCCAAGGGUAUGGCUGUUCGCCAUUUAAAGUGGUACGCGAGCUGGGUUUAGAACGUCGUGAGACAGUUCGGUCCCUAUCUGCCGUGGGCGCUGGAGAAUUGAGGGGGGCUGCUCCUAGUACGAGAGGACCGGAGUGGACGCAUCACUGGUGUUCGGGUUGUCAUGCCAAUGGCACUGCCCGGUAGCUAAAUGCGGAAGAGAUAAGUGCUGAAAGCAUCUAAGCACGAAACUUGCCCCGAGAUGAGUUCUCCCUGAGACUAUAAGUCUCCUGAAGGAACGUUAAAGACGAUGACGUUGAUAGGCCGGGUGUGUAAGCGCAGCGAUGCGUUGAGCUAACCGGUACUAAUGAACCGUGAGGCUUAACCUUACAACGCCGAAG